GUUUGAGCGAUUCAUUUUUUGUAACUUUUCUUCAGUGUAAAUUAUAUUAUGUAGUAACUUCCAUUGAAAUUGUUUAAUUUUCCUGUUAGCUAAAUUCUUAUUCAAAGUUUCCCAAAUGUAAUCCCAUGGUAGUUCAUUCCCAAAAUGUAAAUUCCACUUCAACUGACUAUUUGGAGCUGUUUUAUUCUCAUAAAAGUAUCUAAUAUCUUUAAGGCAUAAUUUUUUGGCAUCAACGACAACUCCAUUUUUUAUAAAUUGACAAGAAUUUAUUAUUUUUAUAGGUCCAUCAGAAUGACUAUGUAUACUAGAGUCUGUUUUUAAAACGUCAAUUUGUUGAGGUGUUAACGAAGAUUUAAUGCGGCUAUAUUGUGCAAUCCAAUUCCUUUUAUCUUUAAGACUGUUAAAAAUAUCAAGGGAUGUUUUAAAGGAUUUAUUGUUUAAGUCCCAUAUAUCUUUAAUUUUUUUUAUUCCACUGGAGGCAAAAUUUGCAUAAUAUAAUGCAUGUCCCUUGAACUUCAAUUUACAAUUGCCGAAAAUAUUUUCUUCUAAAAGGUCCUCUUUCGUGACCGAUUUUUGGAUUUUCUGUAAGUCAGUCCGGGAAAUUAAAAGUUCUUUAUAAUAUUUGGACAUUUGUAUUUGCUUAAAACAUGUAGUGUCCGAACAAGAACAUAUAAAAAAGUCUGUAUCAUAUUUU
rnacentral:lncRNA from 1 species